GUCCACGGCCAUGUCACCUGUAACGUGCCAAUCUGGUCUGAUCUCUUGAAGCUAAGCAGGGUUGGGCCUGGUUAGUACUUGGAUGGGAGACCACCUAGGAAUACCAGGUGCUGUAGGCA
rnacentral:rRNA from 1 species